GACGAACGCUGGCGGCGUGCUUAACACAUGCAAGUCGAACGGAAAGGCCCUGCUUUUGUGGGGUGCUCGAGUGGCGAACGGGUGAGUAACACGUGAGUAACCUGCCCUUGACUUUGGGAUAACUUCAGGAAACUGGGGCUAAUACCGGAUAGGAGCUCCUGCUGCAUGGUGGGGGUUGGAAAGUUUCGGCGGUUGGGGAUGGACUCGCGGCUUAUCAGCUUGUUGGUGGGGUAGUGGCUUACCAAGGCUUUGACGGGUAGCCGGCCUGAGAGGGUGACCGGCCACAUGGGGAUAGGGGAAGGGCCCAGACGGCUACGGGAGGCAGGGGUGGGGAAUUGUCCAAAAAGGGCGGAGGGCGGGUGGAACAACGCCGGGUGGGGGAAGACGGCUUUCGGGUUAGAAACCGCUUUCGCGUGAGACGAAGCGUCGGGGCGGGAAAUGGGUAAAAAAGCACCGGUAAAUUCGGG
rnacentral:rRNA from 1 species